CCUACGGGUGGCAGCAGUGGGGAAUAUUGCACAAUGGGGGAAACCCUGAUGCAGCGACGCCGCGUGAGUGAAGAAGUAAUUCGGUAUGUAAAGCUCUAUCAGCAGGGAAGAAACAGACGGUACCUGAGUAAGAAGCCCCGGCUAACUACGUGCCAGCAGCCGCGGUAAUACGUAGGGGGCAAGCGUUAUCCGGAUUUACUGGGUGUAAAGGGAGCGUAGACGGCGCUGCAAGUCUGAAGUGAAAGCCCGCGGCUUAACCGCGGUACUGCUUUGGAAACUUUGGUGCUGGAGUGCCGGAGAGGCAGGCGGAAUUCCUAGUGUAGCGGUGAAAUGCGUAGAUAUUAGGAGGAACACCAGCGGCGAAGGCGGCUUACUGGACGGUAACUGACGUUGAGGCUCGAAAGCGUGGGGAGCAAACAGGAUUAGAUACCCGGGUAGUC
rnacentral:rRNA from 1 species